ACGAACGCUGGCGGCAUGCCUAACACAUGCAAGUCGAACGAUGCUUUCGGGCAUAGUGGCGCACGGGUGCGUAACGCGUGGGAAUCUGCCCUUGGGUUCGGAAUAACAGUGAGAAAUUGCUGCUAAUACCGGAUGAUGUCUUCGGACCAAAGAUUUAUCGCCCAGGGAUGAGCCUGCGUAGGAUUAGCGAGUUGGUGGGGUAAUGGCCUACCAAGGCGACGAUCCUUAGCUGGUGUGAGAGGAGGAUCAGGCACACUGGGACGGGGACACGGCCCAGACUCCUACGGGAGGCAGCAGUGGGGAAUAUUGGACAGUGGGCGCAAGCCUGAUCCAGCAAUGCCGCGUGAGUGAUGAAGGCCUUAGGGUUGUAAAGCUCUUUUACCCGGGAUGAUAAUGACAGUACCGGUAGAAUAAGCUCCGGCUAACUCCGU
rnacentral:rRNA from 1 species